AUACUUACCUGGCGGGGGAGACACCGCGAUCCUGCAGGUGGUUCUCCCGGGGCGAGGCUCGGCCAUUGCACGCGGGCCGUGCUGACCCCCGCGAUUUCCCCCCCCCAAAAAAAGAAACAAGCAAAAAGGAAAUCACAUAAAAUUUUAAGAGUCGGAGUAUUUCCAUGGAACAUGUUUCCAU
rnacentral:snRNA from 1 species